CCUACGGGCGGCAGCAGUGAGGAAUAUUGGUCAAUGGCCGAGAGGCUGAACCAGCCAAGUCGCGUGAGGGAAGACGGCCCUCCGGGUUGUAAACCUCUUUUGUCGGGGAACAAAGCGAACCACGUGUGUUUCAUUUAGAGUACCCCAAGAAAAAGCAUCGGCUAAAUCCGUGCCCGCAGCCGCGGUAAUCCGGAGGAGGCGCGUGUUCUCCGGUUUUAUGGGGUUUAAAGGGUGCGCAGGCGGAGGUUAAAUUCAGCGGUAAAAUUGCGGGGCUCAACCCCGUAGUGCCGUUGAAACUGGAGCCCUUGAGUGCGCGAGAAGUAGGCGGAAUGCGUGGUGUAGCGGUGAAAUGCAUAGAUAUCACGCAGAACUCCGAUUGCGAAGGCAGCAGACCGGCGCGCAACUGACGCUCAGGCACGAAAGCGUGGGUAUCGAACAGGAUUAGAUACCCCAGUAGUC
rnacentral:rRNA from 1 species